CACGUAGGGGGCGAGCGUUGUCCGGAUUUAUUGGGCGUAAAGAGCUCGUAGGCGGUUCGGUAAGUCGGGUGUGAAACCUCCAGGCUCAACCUGGAGACGCCACCUGAUACUGCUGUGACUAGAGUCCGGUAGGGGAGCGUGGAAUUCCUGGUGUAGCGGUGAAAUGCGCAGAUAUCAGGAGGAACACCAGCGGCGAAGGCGGCGCUCUGGGCCGGAACUGACGCUGAGGAGCGAGAGCGUGGGUAGCAAACA
rnacentral:rRNA from 1 species